GUAGAUUGCUGACCAACACACAAUUUCAAUCUUGUUCAAACUAGAUAUAGUUUGUAGAUCUAUAGAUCUAUAGAUAUAUAUAUACAUCCACACUAUAUCAUUUAAAUUGUCUAAUUGUAGGCCCAUAGGCCUAUGACGUAGAAGUACUGUCAACAAAAGUUGUUGUAUUUUCCAGCACAUGCAAAGACAGUGAACUAAACUUGUGUUUGGUGUGUGAAUACAGGUGACCUUGGAGCAUUCAUCAAAGACACCUGAUGAAGCCCUACCCAUCGGAUAAGAGCAGCUGUUCUUUGCUCAGAGGGUAGGAGUGAAAGACUAGAUAUCCUGCUCCUCCAGCGAUGACACCUUCUGCACCUGUGUCGGAGACAGGUAGAUGGUGUUAGAUCCAGGGGUUUGGCCACAGACCGGAGAGGAAAACAGGAGGUCAGAGGAGCAGGAGGCACUCAUAAAGGGAGACUGUUAGUGAGGGGCCCCGCACCUCUAUUUGAUAUAUAGCACAUCGUAAGUCCUUCACUUAACUAAGAUAAGAAUCUGGCCUUCAAAGAUGGGGUCAGUGAGAGAGACUUUGACU
rnacentral:lncRNA from 1 species